rnacentral:rRNA from 1 species
AUUGAACGCUGGCGGCACGCUUAACACAUGCAAGUCGGACGGCAGCACGCGAGGUGUCACCCUCUGGGUGGUGAGUGGCGGGCGGGUGAGUUAUGCGUAGGGUGCUGUCCAUUGGGGGGGGACAAGCCGAGGCAAUGCCGAGUACUACCGACUACGCCCUGAGGUGGGAAGGGUGGGAGAUGGAAACGGGCUAAUAGCUAAUACAAGAUCGUGCGUUCUAUUAGCUAGUUGGAUGGGUAAAGGACUACCAAGGCGGUGACCUAUCGCUUGUCUGAGAGGAUGACGCGUCACACGGGAACUGAGAUGCGGACCAGAAUCCUAAGGGAGGCAGCAGUGGGGAACAUUGGACAAUGGGCGAAACCGUAAUCCAGCGAAGCCGCGUGUGUGAAGAAGGCCUGAGGGGUGUAAAGCACUUUAGUUGGUGAGGAAAGGGGAUGCGUUAAUAGCGCGUUCAAGUGACGUUAGCCAAAGAAUAAGCACCGGCAAACUCUGUG